rnacentral:rRNA from 1 species
AUUGAACGCUGGCGGCAGGCCUAACACAUGCAAGUCGAACGAGUGGCGGACGGGUGAGUAAUGUCUGGGAAACUGCCUGAUGGAGGGGGAUAACUACUGGAAACGGUAGCUAAUACCGCAUACCAUCAGAUGUGCCCAGAUGGGCUUAGCUUGUUGGUGGGGUAAAGGCUCACCAAGGCGACGAUCCCUAGCUGGUCUGAGAGGAUGACCAGCCACACGGGAACGGAGACACGGUCCAGACUCCGACGGGAGGCAGCAGUGGAGAAGAUUGCACAAUUGGCGCAAGCCUGAUGCAGCCAUGCCGCGUGUAGGAAGAAGGCAUGCGGGUUGUAAAGUACUUUCAGCGGGGAGGCGUUACCCGCAGAAGAAGCACCGGCUAACUCCGUGCCAGCAGCCGCGGUAAUAC